UACGUAGGGUGCAAGCGUUAAUCGGAAUUACUGGGCGUAAAGCGUGCGCAGGCGGUUUUGUAAGCCAGAUGUGAAAGCCCCGGGCUUAACCUGGGAAUGGCAUUUGGGACUGCAAGGCUCGAGUGCGGCAGAGGAGACUGGAAUUCCUGGUGUAGCAGUGAAAUGCGUAGAUAUCAGGAGGAAUACCGAUGGCGAAGGCAGGUCUCUGGGCUGACACUGACGCUCAUGCACGAAAGCGUGGGGAGCAA
rnacentral:rRNA from 1 species